GAAAUGCGAUAAGUAGUGUGAAUUGCAGAAUUCAGUGAAUCAUCGAAUCUUUGAACGCACAUUGCGCCCCUUGGUAUUCCAUGGGGCAUGCCUGUUCGAGCGUCAUUUGUACCCUCAAGCUUUGCUUGGUGUUGGGCGUCUUGUCGGAAUAUCCGACUCGCCUUAAAUACAUUGGCAGCCGGCACUUUGGCCUAGGAGCGCAGCACAUUUUGCGAUCGUAAGCCGUUGUGACAGCAUCCAUAAGAUUUAUUUUACCACGUUUGACCUCGGAUCAGGUAGGGAUACCCGCUGAACUUAAGC
rnacentral:misc_RNA from 1 species